ensembl:lncRNA
GUGAAAAUCAAGUUCAUGUUUCCCACUUCCAAGGUUCAGGUUUCUUCCCUGCCAGCAUAUUAAGUACCUUCAGAGAUAGUAUUUGAAAAAAUUUACAUAUGUAAUAACUUAUCAAUCCAAUUUUUUUUUUUUAAAUGGUAAAUGUAGUGGUUUGAUAUUGCAGUUAUCCUUGAUAGCCUUAAAGCUGUUUUAGUUUUUGGUUCUAAUGAGGACGCAUCAUUUCAUCCCUUAGUGUGCUCAAAAUAUGCAGUGGCUUGCGCUAGUAUUCUGAUCUGUUACUGAAAUCCAAAUUAUGUGGUUUUUGUUUGCGUUGGUAUUUUAAAACAUUUUUAUGUUGGCAAAUAUUUGUGAGGAAAAUUUAUUUUCAAAUAGUGUCACAGAUUCUCAAUGGAGUAAAGAUCAGGUCUUUGACUGGGCCUUUGUAGGACAUUUACCUUUUUGUUCUUAAUCCACUUGCUUUGGAUCACUGUCCUGCUGUGAGGUGAAUUUCCUCACGAGCUUUAGUUUUUAGCAGUACUGCCCUUUAGUUUGUUCCAUACCUUCUGACAUUUUUACAAGAUGCACAGUCCCUAUUGAUUGAGAUGGAUCAACAGAGUGAUGCUGCUGCCAUUAUACUUUACUACAGUGAUGGUAUUAUGAGGCAAUGGGCGGUGUUAGAUUUAAUGAAAAAGAUCUAUAUAUUGGUGUCCUCUGACCACAAAUGUUUUUCCACAUCAAAGUUGGGUCAGCUAUACCUCUGGCCACUCCAGAUGUCGUUUUUAUUUCCAUCUUCCCAUACAUGCCAGUGUUUUGCAGAGGUCUUGAUAUAGUUGACUGGCGCACAAUCACACCCAACUGCAAAGUUUCUUCCACUUUCUGAUUAAUGACCUAUAACGGUGCUUACUGGGAUAUCAAAACAGUUGUAUAUUCUAUUGUACGUUGCUUGAUAUUUUUGAAUUUGUAAUACUGUAUCUUUAGCUUAUGUAUAAUGCUUUUUGGACUUUGUGUUCUUUCAGAUUCACAGCCAGACCAAUGAUCAUUCAAAAGAAGUGGUAAGAAUCAGGCUGAAUCAAACCGCAGCAUUUUUCCAGCUUCGAGGGACUCUUACCUGAGACUGUAGAUCAUGUGGUACUGGAGUUGGAGGAAGUUUCUUGUACUCUGAGGUGACUGAUAAUAGGUUUAAAGGGAAUUGAAGAUUGUAGGAGCCAGAACUCAACGGCUUUGGCCCUCAUAUUAAAGCUUGGCAUGUAACUCAUGUUUAAGUGCCUGUAACUCCUCUCUAUUUACAUGCAAGUUAUUUAGCAUAUGCUCUUAUUCAGAGACAUGACAUUUAUAUAUUAUGAGACAUACUAUUAUAUCUCAGGCUUUAUGUACCGUUUUUGAACCCUCUCAUUUUCAUCCCUUCAAGUUGUGCAGAUUGCAUGGAUGUUAUUGCCUUCAUGGUUACUCAAGCUUGUGUUUAAUACAAGCAAAACCAAAUAAUUUACAUGGCAUACUCCCUGUUCAUGCAUGACUGUGUGGCCACACACAGCCUCCAAAGUCAUCCUUAGGUUUGCGGCUGACACCAACAUCCUGGGUCUCAUCUCCAACAAGGGUGAGACUGAAUAUAGAGAGGAGGUAAGUGACUUGGCAACAUGGUGCCAGGACAACAACUUCUCGCUCAAUGCAAGACUAAGGAAAUUAUGAUACACAUCGAUGGAGCUGAAAGUUCCUGAAGUUCAUUCAUGUUCAUCAAAGAUAACCUCACCUGAUCCAGGCAAGCAGAAUCAGUGGUUAAAAACAGCACAAAAGAGCCUAUACUUCCUGAGUAAACUUAAGAAGUUUGGCAUGUCUGCAAAAACACUCACCAACUUAUACAGGUGGACCAAUGAGAGCAUUCUCUCAGGCUUCAUUACUGUUUGGAACAGCAGCUGCUCCUCUGCUGAUCGUAAGUCACUGGAGCACAUCAUUGGCUGCCAUCUCUCUUCCAUACAGGGCAUCUACCAUACAUAAUGCUUUUGGAAGGCAAGGAUCAUCAUAAAGACUACAGCCACCCAGGCUAUGGUCUGUUCACUCUUCUGCCAUCUGCUAGACAUUAAUGGAGCAUCAAGGCAUGCAUUUCCAGUUUUUCCACUUUCCAGUUUUUUCCCUCUUAGGCUGUAAGGUUUC